CUCAGGCACGCAGGGCUCAGCAUACCUGGCACCAGGGAAGUGAUAGCAUGACGUGAAAACAAGUAUUUAUUGGACUGGACACAGGUGCAGGGACAGAGCAAUCAGCUUCAUCAAGACUGUGUUUGGCAGACAGAAAGAUGCACUGAACCGACUGCAUUUCCAUUCUGACAGACAGCUUCCCUUUCGAGUCUGGGUAGGAUGAGGAAAUAGAAUAGUGAUAAAUGUGGAGUUGGGGAAUUUAGGAUAGAGGAUGAAAGGUAAUGAACAAAGGGAGAAACCUGAGAAAGCUC
rnacentral:lncRNA from 1 species